UCAAAGCACUCCAAUUAAAACAUAGAAACUAUGGAAAAUUAUCUAGUAAACAUGCUGAUUAUGUCCUAAACCUGAUCACUUGUCUCAAAAUUUAGAAAGUUAAUGGCUGACAAUUCAGCGGCCAUUCUGAACUGGAAAUUGUAUGUUAGGGCUAUGAUAGAAGAAAGAAAGAAAUUAGAUCUCUAUGCCCCCAGGGUAUCUCUAUACCAGCCUGGAAUGCCUAUCUCCAAACCUCCUUUACAUAAAACAGAAAUAGUCUAUCACCUUAAAAUCUCUGUUACUCUAGAUUUUUUCAUUAUGAGCAGCUAAAAUGAAUCUUACUUGAUACAGCGUGAGUGUUCAUGGAUUAAGACAUUGUUUGAUAAGAGGAGAAAGGAAAAAAUACAAAUUGUACUGGCCCUGACAGACAAUGAAGGCUGAAGCCAAAUUAAUUAAACAGCAAACUCAAACACAAAGAACAAA